rnacentral:Y_RNA from 1 species
GGCUGUCCUGAGGGUAGCGGAUUAUCAGAACUUAUUAAUAUUAAUGUUACUGAAGUUGAUAUACAACCCUCCCCCCACUGGUAAAUUUGACUGGAUUUUU